rnacentral:rRNA from 1 species
GAUGAACGCUGGCGGCGUGCCUAAUACAUGCAAGUCGAACGAACCGACAAUAAGCUUUCUCCUGUGCAGGUAGCGUCUGACGGAUGGGUGACACGUGGAUAACCUCCUUAUUAAACUGGGCUAAAUACGUGGAAACCGAUUUGAUACGAGCGCAUAUAUUGCACCGCAUAUUUCAAUAGCAUAAGAGAAUUUUCAAGUAUCUAUUAGUUGAUUUCGGGCUGGCGUAGCUAGUUGGUAAGGGAACGUCUUACCAAGGCGACGAGGCGUAGCCGAACUGAGAGGGUGAUCAGCCACACUGGAACUGAGACACGGUCCAGACUCCGACGGGAGGCAGCAGUAGGGAAUCUUCCGCAAUGGGCGGAAGCCUGACGGAGCAACGCCGCGUGAGUGAGGAAGGGCUUCGGCUCGUAAAGCUCUGUUGUUAGGGAAGAACAAAUGUGUGAGUAAAUAGGCACGUAAUGACGGUACCUAAGGAGAAAGCCACGGCUAACUACGUG